GAUGAACGCUGGCGGCGUGCCUAAUACAUGCAAGUCGAGCGAACAGACGAGGAGCUUGCUCCUCUGACGUUAGCGGCGGACGGGUGAGUAACACGUGGAUAACCUACCUAUAAGACUGGGAUAACUUCGGGAAACCGGAGCUAAUACCGGAUAACAUGUUGAACCGCAUGGUUCAACAGUGAAAGACGGUCUUGCUGUCACUUAUAGAUGGAUCCGCGCCGCAUUAGCUAGUUGGUAAGGUAACGGCUUACCAAGGCAACGAUGCGUAGCCGACCUGAGAGGGUGAUCGGCCCCACUGGAACGGAGACACGGUCCAGACUCCUACGGGAGGCAGCAGUAGGGAAUCUUCCGCAAUGGGCGAAAGCCUGACGGAGCAACGCCGCGUGAGUGAAGAAGGUCUUCGGAUCGUAAAACUCUGUUAUUAGGGAAGAACAAAUGUGUAAGUAACUAUGCACGUCUUGACGGUACCUAAUCAGAAAGCCACGGCUAACUACGUG
rnacentral:rRNA from 1 species